UGGCCUAUGGUGUAAUUGGCAACACAUCUGGUUUUGGUCCAGAAGAGUCUAGGUUCGACCCCUAGUAGGCCAA
rnacentral:tRNA from 1 species